GCUGGCAUGGCUCAGUGGUUAGAGCUUCAUCCCACACACUGAAGGGUCCUGGGUUCGAUUCCCAGGUGAGGGCA
rnacentral:tRNA from 1 species